rnacentral:misc_RNA from 1 species
GCCAAUUCAUAGUUUAAUGGGUGAUCUUAUCAAAGGUAGAUAUUGGCAAAAAGUUGCUGAUGAACGUCGAAGAAAACCUUACUCGAUCAUGCUUGCUGACAAGAACGCACCAAAUGAGGAAGUAUGGAAACAAAUUGAGAACAUGUGUCUAAGCACCAAAGCAUCUGCUAUUCCAGUUAUACCUGAUUCAGAAGGAACUGAAAUC